rnacentral:rRNA from 1 species
GAGUUUGAUCCUGGCUCAGGAUGAACGCUGGCGGCGUGCCUAACACAUGCAAGUCGAGCGGAGCAAUCUUGAUGAAGUUUUCGGAUGGAAUCAGGAUUGACUUAGCGGCGGACGGGUGAGUAACACGUGGAUAACCUGCCUUAUACUGGGGGAUAACAGCCAGAAAUGGCUGCUAAUACCGCAUAAGCGCACGGCGCCGCAUGGCGCAGUGUGAAAAACUCCGGUGGUAUAAGAUGGAUCCGCGCCUGAUUAGCUAGUUGGCGGGGCAGCGGCCCACCAAGGCGACGAUCAGUAGCCGGCCUGAGAGGGCGACCGGCCACAUUGGGACUGAGACACGGCCCAAACUCCUACGGGAGGCAGCAGUGGGGAAUAUUGCACAAUGGGGGGAACCCUGAUGCAGCGACGCCGCGUGAGUGAAGAAGUAUUUCGGUAUGUAAAGCUCUAUCAGCAGGGAAGAAGAUGACGGUACCUGACUAAGAAGCCCCGGCUAACUACGUGCCAGCAGCCGCGGUAAUACGUAGGGGGCAAGCGUUAUCCGGAUUUACUGGGUGUAAAGGGAGCGUAGACGGCAGGGCAAGUCUGGAGUGAAAGCCCGGGGCCCAACCCCGGGACUGCUUUGGAAACUGCCAUGCUAGAGUGCUGGAGAGGUAAGCGGAAUUCCUAGUGUAGCGGUGAAAUGCGUAGAUAUUAGGAGGAACACCAGUGGCGAAGGCGGCUUACUGGACAGUAACUGA